rnacentral:lncRNA from 1 species
GAAGAGUAUAAAACACGUAGCACAGGGCCUCAGUACCGGAGACGCUCAGGAAGCAUUCAUUUGCCUCUCUCUGCCUUUUUCCUUAAUGUCUCAAAAAGAGAAAUGCUGGAAGAUGGUUGGAAGAAUUCAGAUCUCUGAGGAAAACGGCUUGGUUGGUGCCCAGAAGGAAGAUAGGACCUUGCCCAGGACCACACAGUGAGGGGUUUACUCUGAAUGGAACCCAGGCAUUUUUCUUUGCAGGGAUUUUGGAGUUCGGUAGGAGGUCUACAGAAAUCAGAAAACUUUACUUCAACUCCCACCGCCUCAUGCCAGCAGGAGACUCUCAAACCAACCACAUGGCUUCCCCGAGCCUCAGUUUCCUCAUCCGUAAAGUGGGGAAGUAGCCUCGCCUUUUCUACACACCUAGGAUGAAGGAAGAAGGUAGAUAUGAAACAGCAAAGUGCUUGGGGAGCCCGGGUGUCUCAGUCGGUUAGGCGACUGACUUUAGCUCGGGUCAUGAUCUCGCGGUUUGUGAGUUCGAGUCCCGCGUCGGGCUCUGUGCUGACAGCUCAGAGCCUGGAGCCUGCUUCAGAUUCUGUGUCUCCUUCUCUCUCUCUGCCCCUCCCCUGAUAGCACUCUGUCUCUCUCUCUCUCUCAAAAAUAAAUAAGCAUUAAAAAAUUUUUUUAAAAAGAAA